UGAAUGUAUUUAUUCUGAAGGUUUUUUUUUUACACUUUUAUUGAAGAACAAUACAUUACAACAUUGUUCUAAAGUAGGACAAAAAGUACAUUUAUGAUUGCAACUUUUAAACUUACAUAAACAUGUUUCUACAGACAUAAAUGUACUUCCGUAUAAAUGCUAUUGGAGAGAAGUAAAUUAUUAAGGCAGUGUGAAAUUAUUAAAAGAAAAAGAAGAAAAUAAAGAAUUAUUCUGAGUGAUUUUUUUCACUUUUAUCUCAAGCAGUAAGAGUUUUAAAAUUGUUUUAAUGGCGGAGCUUCCGUCCUCACCUCCCACUGAACUGUUAGCUAUAAUCUUUCACAGCUGCGAGCUGUGAGGAAAUAAAUCCCUGCAGGACCGUUGUUGAUUGAAGGACAAUGGCCAAUGUUUUCCAUGGACAGGACUCUGAUUGAAGGUGGAAGUUGGGUCACAGCAGCAGGAG